AUGGAGCGAGACACGUUAUAUAGAUUAAUUACACACAGACUGAUGUUUUCAAGCCCUUAAGUCUGAGAAUUAUACAUUAAAGCACCACAUCAGACCAACAAAAAUGAUCUUUAAUAAAGAAAUGUGGCCUUAAUGAAAAGUAUGCUUAAUACCUGCUUGAAGGUUGUUAUUUUUAAAGGGUAUAUUUGACCUGACAAAUAGGCCUCAAUGGGACAUGUUCUAAUAUCUUGAAUAUGAUUGCUCAUUGAUAUUAAAUGAUGCCGUCAACCAACCAACGAUGGUUUAAAAUCAGCAAAACAUAACAUUACCUACAAUAAUGUCAUUUUGUUUUUUGCAAACAUAAUCAGUUAGACCCGUCUGCUGAGAUCCUCUGCCUUCGUGAUGAUGAUGAUGAUGAUGUUCCUGUAUAUAACCUCUGAGGCAUUCACAGAACGGCUGGAUUCACACAGAUCAAGGAGGAGUGAUAAUUAUCUCAUUAUUGACCUCAUAGCAAAACUGGUUGUACUGAACGUUAAGCAAUAUAAAUGCACACCGCACCCUGCAUAUUCAACUCUCUGCAAUUUCCUUCCAUAUUAUGCACUACUUUUUGCUGCUCUAUCACAUAUAAUCCCAGCAAACACACCCGACGUUUAUGGUUACAGCUCAAAUAAAAGUGAAAAAUAGGAAGAAAGUCGUUUGCAAGCUGUCGACUUUCUUUUCAGAGUCUCAAAACGUACCGCAGCCUGUCUGUUAAACACUAAACAUUUCCAAUCCAACAGUCAACAAACACCAUAAAUCAAGAUCUGACACCAUUUCUACAAGUACAACAACAGCAUUAUCUUGCCAUGUCGGUUGCAGGCAUUAUGUAACUAUAAUCUGUCGUUACAUAAGGUAUAAACUUUCAGAUUUUCUCAAAGGAAAAAAAAAAAAAAAAAAAAGACGAUCCUGGUUUUCCAUCCCAGACCGCAAAGAUGUGCUUUAAUCUAGACAGUAGAAACAUGAGCUUUACGUAGCAUUAGUCAAAGCGUGCAAUGCGAGUAGGCUUUAGUGAGCAUUUGCACUGUGAUCUGUUGUGGAGCUGGGAUCACAUGUAUUCAUUAUGUUUCAGCUGCCAAAUCCUUGAUUAAAUAAGGCUUAGGCCUUUACCACAAAGGAUUCUGAUCAGUCAAUAUUGAAUUUGUUUGACUAAUGAAAACACGUCACUAUAAUAGUAUCACUUCCCGUGUCUCGCAUAAAGAUUUGAUAAGUAGAAAUAAAUCUGUGCCAGCCCAUCUUGUUUUGUGGAUGACAUUUUGAUCUUGCCAAGUGGGAAGGCAUAGGGGUGUUGAGGAAGCUUGCAUUCCACUUUUGCAUCUUCGCACGUUGGUGGUUUGGUACAAGUGAUAAACCUGAAACUCAUCUGAAUGGAAUGCAGUACUCAUUAAAAAAAAAAAAAAA